rnacentral:rRNA from 1 species
AUUGAACGCUGGCGGCAGGCUUAACACAUGCAAGUCGAGCGGGGUGAUGGUGCUUGCACUAUCACUUAGCGGCGGACGGGUGAGUAAUGCUUAGGAAUCUGCCUAUUAGUGGGGGACAACAUCUCGAAAGGGAUGCUAAUACCGCAUACGUCCUACGGGAGAAAGCAGGGGAUCACUUGUGACCUUGCGCUAAUAGAUGAGCCUAAGUCGGAUUAGCUAGUUGGUGGGGUAAAGGCCUACCAAGGCGACGAUCUGUAGCGGGUCUGAGAGGAUGAUCCGCCACACUGGGACUGAUCCACUGCCCAGACUCCUGCGGGAGGCAGCAGUGGGGAAUAUUGGACAAUGGGGGGAACCCUGAUCCAGCCAUUCCGCGUGUGUGAAGAAGGCCUUAUGGUUGUAAAGCACUUUAAGCGAGGAGGAGGCUCUUUUGGUUAAUACCCAAGAUGAGUGGACGUUACUCGCAGAAUAAGCACCGGCUAACUCUGUGCCAGCCGCCGCCGUAA